CUUUCCCUCCUCCUCCUCUCUCAGGUUUCAAGUUAACUGCACUUGAUUAAUUCCAGCCUGCAGCUGGAACCAUCAGGGAGAAAAAUAAAACUGGGGAGAUACUUAUUUUCUUUUGCUUCCUGCCCCUACCCUUGGCUAGGACUACCAGCCAAACGAAAAAAGUACAAUUACAUCUAUUUACUAGUUCUGCAAUAAUUAGUCACUAUGAUGUGAGCAGCAGCUGCUGGCUUUAAACAGAAAAGUUUCACUAAGCGAUACCUUGUAUUUUUUAGAGUAGGAGAGAAAGACCCCAGCAGAACCUGUUGAAAUUUACCUCACACCAGCUAGCCUAGCCCGCAAGGCCCUUUUCUCCCUCCACUGGUAGCUAUUGUAUGAUGAAGAUAUUAAGAAGGCUGUGUUUGAAUUUAUGUGCAAAGUAAUCCAAUUAAACAAGCUCCCCCACUCCUUCCUCUCCCCAGUUGUUUGGUUUUCAAUCUCAGCAAAUCUGAAGAGCAGACUAUUAAUCAAGCCACUUGGUAACCUCAGCUGCCCUUCAGCUUGACAGAAAAUAACAUUGAUUCACAUUCCAGAGUGAACUGUGAAUGAAAUGAAUCAGGAAAGCAGCAGGAUCCAGAGGUGCUGCAAGAGCUAGCUCUGGGAUGGUUUGAAUUUAAAAUUCAAUCAAUCAAAUAAAUAAUAGAGACAGACAGACAUAGUUCCACGUGUGUCUGACAGAAAGAAAAAUACACUUGCAAAUAAACAGGAUCUUAUUUCAUAGAGGAAGGAGGAAAAACAGUGGACUGAAUUUUAACUUCCUUGAGUUUUAAAAAACAGAACAUACAAGUUUAUCCUGCUGAUGCCAAAAUCAUCAGAAGCAACAGCGUGAUACUUCCACUGUCCUAGCAUCCUUUGCCAUGUUUACUGUAAUGUUCCCACCUCAAACAGGAGAUGGCCGUAUUAUUAAGAGUUUCUCAAAUGGCCUCUGAAGUGCAACAUUAUUAAAUUAUUUCUUUAAUAUGG